UAAUGAAGAACCGUUCGUUAGAAAUAUGCUUGAGUAUUACCAAAACGGCGUUGAAAUGAUUAGGAGGGAUUUGCUCACAGGACGCUGGGCACCUUACCUUCAGCGUGCAAUUAGUUUGAAACCCUGCUAUGAAGGAGGGGUUGAUGGUGGCAAGGUGACUGCCCGCAUACUACAGGAUAUGGCUUUUGGAAAGAAUAAUACUCCGCAAAAGUUUAGCGGGGCCA